CAGCCAGAUUUGAAUUUCAGAUAAAUAAUGUAUAUAUUUUUAGGAUAAUUAUGUCCCGUGUAAUAUUUGGUACAUACUUAUCCUAAAAACAUAUUUAUUGUUUAUCUGAAAUUCAAGUUUAAGUGAGAUCUUGUAUUUU
rnacentral:miRNA from 1 species